AGGAAUAUUGGUCAAUGGGCGAGAGCCUGAACCAGCCAAGUAGCGUGAAGGAUGACUGCCCUAUGGGUUGUAAACUUCUUUUAUAAAGGAAUAAAGUCGGGUAUGGAUACCCGUUUGCAUGUACUUUAUGAAUAAGGAUCGGCUAACUCCGUGCCAGCAGCCGCGGUAAUACGGAGGAUCCGAGCGUUAUCCGGAUUUAUUGGGUUUAAAGGGAGCGUAGAUGGAUGUUUAAGUCAGUUGUGAAAGUUUGCGGCUCAACCGUAAAAUUGCAGUUGAUACUGGAUAUCUUGAGUGCAGUUGAGGCAGGCGGAAUUCGUGGUGUAGCGGUGAAAUGCUUAGAUAUCACGAAGAACUCCGAUUGCGAAGGCAGCCUGCUAAGCUGCAACUGACAUUGAGGCUCGAAAGUGUGGGUAUCAAACAGGAUUAGAUACCCUGGUAGUCCACACGGUAAACGAUGAAUACUCGCUGUUUGCGAUAUACUGCAAGCGGCCAAGCGAAAGCGUUAAGUAUUCCACCUGGGGAGUACGCCGGCAACGGUGAAACUCAAAGGAAUUGACGGGGGCCCGCACAAGCGGAGGAACAUGUGGUUUAAUUCGAUGAUACGCGAGGAACCUUACCCGGGCUUAAAUUGCAGAUGAAUUACGGUGAAAGCCGUAAGCCGCAAGGCAUCUGUGAAGGUGCUGCAUGGUUGUCGUCAGCUCGUGCCGUGAGGUGUCGGCUUAAGUGCCAUAACGAGCGCAACCCUUGUUGUCAGUUACUAACAGGUUCCGCUGAGGACUCUGACAAGACUGCCAUCGUAAGAUGUGAGGAAGGUGGGGAUGACGUCAAAUCAGCACGGCCCUUACGUCCGGGGCUACACACGUGUUACAAUGGGGGGUACAGAGGGCCGCUACCACGCGAGUGGAUGCCAAUCCCAAAAACCUCUCUCAGUUCGGACUGGAGUCUGCAACCCGACUCCACGAAGCUGGAUUCGCUAGUAAUCGCGCAUCAGCCACGGCGCGGUGAAUACGUUCCCG
rnacentral:rRNA from 1 species